rnacentral:tRNA from 1 species
CGAGGGAGGCCUGCCGGGCAGAGAGGGGCUGCUACCCACUCUUCCCCUAGGUUGAACUCCUAGGUUCUCCU